CGUAGGGGGCAAGCGUUGUCCGGAUUUAUUGGGCGUAAAGCGCGUGUAGGCGGCUUGGCAAGUCCGCUGUGAAAACUCGAGGCUCAACCUCGAGAUGUCGGUGGAAACUGCCUGGCUAGAGUCCGGAAGAGGAGUGUGGAAUUCCUGGUGUAGCGGUGAAAUGCGCGGAUAUCAGGAAGAACACCUAUGGCGAAGGCAGCACUCUGGGACGGUACUGACGCUGAGACGCGAAAGCGUGGGGAGCGAACAGGAUUAGAUACCCUGGUAGUCCACGCCGUAAACGAUGGAUGCUAGGUGUGGGCGGUGUCGACUCCGUCCGUGCCGAAGCUAACGCAUUAAGCAUCCCGCCUGGGGAGUACGGCCGCAAGGCUA
rnacentral:rRNA from 1 species